CUAAACUCUUCCAACUCUCUACGUGUCAUUGUUUGGUUGGUGGGGGUUUCUCUCACUUGGUUUCAUCCUCGUCCUUCUCUUCCUCAUCUCGGUCCAGAGGACGAUUCAGCGAGAGAGAAACCGUCAGCUUAUUCGGUAAUUUUACCACUCCUAAAUGUCAACUUCUCUCUCUCUCUCUCUCUCUCUCUGCUUAGCUAAAUCUGGUUUGUUCUUGAUUGUUGCUACUGAUCCCAAGAAGAAGAUGGCGAUUGAUUCGAUGCAGAGAACAAACAACCUCCGAUGGGGAGAAAUAGAUGAGGAAGAUGACCUUUGGUUUCCUAAGAAAGUGUUUGGGCCGGACCAAAAACGGUGUAAAUAAAGCGACGGAGCUGGAUUAAGUUCAGUGACGCCGCCCAUUAGGAUGCUGGUAGUAGCUACCUCACAAUGUGUUCAACCGGGCUGCAAACAUUAAUAGUGUGUGUGAGAUGCAAGACUUGGAAUGUAUUAACAGUGUGUGUGAGAUGCAAGUUCUGAGAGGAUGAAGCUGUGAUGUGCAAGUCUUGGAAUGCAUAAAUGGCAAGUAGAUACAAGUGUGUGUUCGAGAGUGUUUGUCAAAAAGACCACCUGUUGUCUUUCUUCGAGCUGGUCCUGAAGAUGGUGUCCCUUUUUUGUCUUCGUUCGUUCUGGAGCUUUCUAUUUUUGUUCUCUCUAUACCUAGGUCUGGUCUGGUCUGUAAGGGAAAAGUAUACCAUUCCCUUGGUGAUGACACACUGUUUAACACCCUCUAGUGUCCUAGACUAGUAAGUUGUGUCGAGUCUCAAGACAUAUUUUAUGUUUGGAUAGUUUGUUGAUUGUUUACUCUUCUAAACCAUCUGAAAUCUUCAACAGUUCUUGCUUUUUGUGCUUGAAAGUUGUAUCUUUUAUUCACUA